CUCUCUUCUGUUUUUUUCCUUCUCCUUGCAAAGAACAAUCCAAAUUACUCAGCUCCGCUUCUUCGAACAAAUAAUUCAUCUUCGGAUAUCUCUGAUGUUCUACUUCAGUUUUCCCUCUUUUUCUUUCUCAUUUUUUAUUCAUUUACUCUUUUUUUAUUUGUACGCUUCUUUUCGAUUUUCGUGUAUUUAUCAAUUUUUAAGGAAUAAUUAUUAUGGUAUAGGGGAAGCAUAACUACCUGAAUGAAUCUUCUUAAAUCAGAUUAUUGCUCUACUAAUCAGUAGAUCUGAUGAUAUGAUGUGCUAUUUCUUUCAUUUGUUGAUUCAUAUUGACUGCUUUAUUUGUCAUUCAAAAACCAUGAAGAGGUAGGGUUAAAGUUUGCGUACACUCUAUUUUUUCUACACCACACUUGGUGGGAUUUAAAUGGAUAUGAAGAUGUUGUUUGUGUUUACUGCUUUAUUUCCAUUUAAUUUGACAUGUAGUGCUAAAUUGAGAAUUUUCAACUUCAUCUUCAUUUUUCGCAGCCUCCCUUCACUCUCUUCAAAGUUUCGAAGUUCAGCUGAGCGAAAAUGGAAUUUGAUCCCCUUUCGUUGAGCACCGGCAGGAAUUUGAUCCCCUUUCGUUGAGCACCGAUGGUGAUAAACUUUGAGGAUGUGAAACUACUGAUUGUUUAGGUCAUGUGGCUCUUGUAUUCGAGCUUAUGAAGCGGUUGGGAAAAACAAAUCCACAGUUGAAAUCCACAGUGGUUGCCGUUUUCAUAGCCAGUGAAGAGAACUCAUCUAUCCCUGGGGUUGGUGUGGAUGCGUUAGUGAAGGACGGACUGCUUGAUAAGUUAAAGCAAGGCCCUCUAUUCUGGAGUACUCCAAGCCAUGGUCUUUGCAAAUACUGUAGAGGCCGUGGAAGCUAUUGCUAAAAUCUUGACAGGAGCUGGGCUUGAAUGUUUCUGCUACCAUACUGAUAGCUCUCUAGAGGAGCUCACAAAGAAUUUGCUUGAUUUCUAGUAGGAAGGUGGUGUUUUUGUGUGCACGAAUGCUGCAACAAGUGGUAUUGACAUUCCAAAUGUGUCACAUGUUAUUCAGGUUUGUUUUUUAAGUGAAUACAUUGUUUCUUAUCUCAAUUA